CUGAAUUGUUAUGAAAUAAAAAUGAUAAGUAUAAAAAAAUUAAUGUGAUAUAUUUAAUUUUGCUUUAAAUUUUGAAUUAACUAAAAUUAUUAAUUUAAUUAUAUUACUAAAUAAAAUAAAAUUAUGAUUUUAUAUUUAUUGUAAUUAAUAAUGUUCUACCAUAUUUAGUGUUUUGAGUUCUAUUAAAGUUGGUCUUAGAUAACUAAGAUAUGACAAAACAAAUAUGCAUUAAUUACAUUUGACUAAUUAUACACUUAUACUGUAUUAUUUAAAUGAUUAUUUCCAUAAGAGAUGCCUAGUUUCUUUUUGUAACACCUAAAAUUUGUUGACCUCACAUCUAUGAUCUAUAUUUAAAUGAACUGGCUAAUUAAACUGACUGAUUAUUUUAUCUUUUAUUUCGCUAAUGAUAUCUUCAGUGGUCAAAAGUCUAUUAUAAGUAAAAUCUCAUAUAAUUUAUUAUAUGUAUUUUUCCUCAUUUAAGUGAAUAUUUUUCUUUUAUGUGAUUAAAAUUUAACAAAGAAAAAAAGAACAUCCCAUAUUUUACAACCUGUCUAGUUUACAAAAAAGAAAUAUAUAUAUUUUACAACCUGUAUAUAUAGACAUAUAAUCAUUAAUAGACCAAAGUCAUUUGAAAAGAAAAAUAUCAAACAGAUAAUAAUGAUCAUGGCCAAGUUUUCAUGUUCUUAUUUUCUUCUACUCGUGAUUGUAUUCUCGGUAUGUUUAAUGGUCGAAAAGUCUGAGGGAAUGCUAUGUGAAAUAACCAUUGACCAAGAACAGGACUGUGAAAUGUUCUUUUGCACUCAGGACUGCGCCAGGCAUUACAAUGGUGUUGGAGAAUGUUUGGACGAUCCUACUGUUUUCGGACCUCGUAACUGUCGUUGUAAAUAUAAUUGUUAAAGGGAUAAUUUUGUGAAAAUAUUUGAUAAAUAUAUUAAAUAAAUACAAGGUUUUAAAAUAAA